GACAGAGGGUGCAAACGUUGUUCGGAAUUACUGGGCGUAAAGCGCGCGUAGGCGGCCCUGCAAGUCGGAUGUGAAAUCCCACGGCUCAACCGUGGAAGUGCAUUCGAAACUGCAGGGCUAGAGUCCUGGAGAGGAAGGUGGAAUGCUUGGUGUAGAGGUGAAAUUCGUAGAUAUCAAGCGGAACACCGGUGGCGAAGGCGGCCUUCUGGACAGUGACUGACGCUGAGACGCGAAAGCGUGGGGAGCAAACAGG
rnacentral:rRNA from 1 species